rnacentral:lncRNA from 1 species
AGCUUUGUGGAAGUUACCUGUGGAGCUGAUGUUUAGGCCAAGGUCACUUACACUGUAAGAUGAUUGAUGUCAACAUCAACUACAUUGCCUUUUAUUCAUAUGGGAACCACAAGAGACGCAUAGCUACACGUAACCUAUGGGAAUCACAUUUGAAAAGAAUUGGAGAGCAGCAGAGAGCAGAGCAGAGCAGCUUGAAUACCAUUGAAAGCACCUCACCAGGCACCACGUCUGUCUGCUAGUCCAGAUCGCCCGCUGGUCCGACGACCGCCUCCUCUGGCCUGUGGUGGUUCUGACUGGGCUAGACCACUACUGGACCACCAACAACCUGGGUCAUGUUCCCGGUCCGACUGAGACCACUUUUCUCUGGGGUGAAGUUAGAGAUCUAGGAUCAGCUUCCCGGGCUCCCCCAAUCCUGACCGUAGCCAUUAGUGGGCAAAAUGCUAAACUCACCCAGCAUCUCCAUCUAGGGGCAACUUCACCCUACACCAUGAGGACUCCAUGCUGGGAUCUAAAGAUUGUGCUCUUAGUGGUCGUCUCUCUGCUGUGGAUAGUGGCCCUGCUCUAUGUGUUCCUAGUGUCUGGGGGUCAUUCUAGUGUUGGGGAACCAGUCUCCUCACCAGCUGCAUCAGUGCUGGGUGUUCACUAGCGCUCGUACCUCAGUUGGCCAAAGUGCUGCUACUGACUGUGGCCUGUGCAGUGCUGUAUGUUCAUAGCCACACAGGGUCUCCUAUGGGUAUCCACAGGGGUGGAAGGAUGCUCACAUGGAUUCAUCCUGCAUUUUGGAGUCACAGUGGCUGGCGGUGCAGAGUAGAGGUGUUUCGCCAGGUGUUGUGGAUUUUCCUCAGAGUGGGCUCUGUUCCUGGUAUUCCUUCCUGCGUCUGGUCUUCCAAAUUGGGAUCCCUGGAUACCUG